rnacentral:rRNA from 1 species
GAUGAACGCUAGCGGCAGGCUUAACACAUGCAAGUCGAGGGGUAUAUCAUUUCGGUGAUAGAGACCGGCGCACGGGUGCGUAACGCGUAUGCAAUCUACCUUUUACAGGGGAAUAGCCCAGAGAAAUUUGGAUUAAUGCCCCAUGGUAUUAUGAAAUGGCAUCAUUUUAUAAUUAAAGUUCCAACGGUAAAAGAUGAGCAUGCGUCCCAUUAGUUAGUUGGUAAGGUAACGGCUUACCAAGACGAUGAUGGGUAGGGGUCCUGAGAGGGAGAUCCCCCACACUGGUACUGAGACACGGACCAGACUCCUACGGGAGGCAGCAGUGAGGAAUAUUGGACAAUGGGCGCAAGCCUGAUCCAGCCAUGCCGCGUGCAGGAAGAAGCAUCUAUGGUGUGUAAACUGCUUUUAUACAGGAAGAAACACUCCCUCGUGAGGGAGCUUGACGGUACUGUAAGAAUAAGGACCGGCUAACUCCGUG